rnacentral:rRNA from 1 species
AUUGAACGCUGGCGGCAGGCCUAACACAUGCAAGUCGAACGGUAACAGGAAACAGCUUGCUGUUUCGCUGACGAGUGGCGGACGGGUGAGUAAUGUCUGGGAAACUGCCUGAUGGAGGGGGAUAACUACUGGAAACGGUAGCUAAUACCGCAUAACGUCGCAAGACCAAAGAGGGGGACCUUCGGGCCUCUUGCCAUCGGAUGUGCCCAGAUGGGAUUAGCUUGUUGGUGGGGUAACGGCUCACCAAGGCGACGAUGCGUAGGGGUUCUGAGAGGAAGGUCCCCCACACUGGUACUGAGACACGGACCAG